rnacentral:rRNA from 1 species
UACGUAGGGACCAAGCGUUGUUCGGAUUUACUGGGCGUAAAGGGCGCGUAGGCGGCUUAACAAGUCACUUGUGAAAUCUCCGGGCUUAACUCGGAACGGCCAAGUGAAACUGUCAAGCUAGAGUGCAGAAGGGGCAAUCGGAAUUCUUGGUGUAGCGGUGAAAUGCGUAGAUAUCAAGAGGAACACCUGAGGUGAAAGACGGGUUGCUGGGCUGACACUGACGCUGAGGCGCGAAAGCCAGGGGAGCAAACGGG